GAUCAAACUUCCAUAUGCUGGUGCAAGUAGGCAGUAGCUAGCUUCCCAUAAUUGAUGAGAAGCAGACAUGAAGCAAGAAGAGAAGAAUCUUAAAUAUAACUAGGGUUGAUGGGUUUGGUUGAUUUUGUUGAUGCUCAAUGAUCACUUCAAUCCUUCAGAUUCAAUCUGGGAAGGGUAACCCCAAUCUAAGGAAAGUGUAGGAGCCUUCAAAAUCUUGAGCAGGAUCCGCUGAGCUGCUGGUGUUGGUCAUCACAGAAUCCGAUGGUUGUCCUGCUUCAAACAAUUGCAUUCUGGCUACUGGUAUAUCCAUCAUUUGCUUCUUUAGUCGCUCAUUUUCUUCCAUCAAUUGAGCUCCCUUGCUUUUGAGGGCAUUGAUUUCUUUUGCAAAUACAUCACUCUUUGUUUCCACGACUCGUUUCAAGCCUCUUUCAAGUAACCUUUCUAAUUGUUGAAGCUCUUCUAUGCUCAAUCCUUGGAGCUCUUCCCCCCUCAUCUGCCUCAAUUCAAGGGUCCUCUCUUCUACUUCCUUGCUCAAUGCGGCAAAAGUACCAUCUUCAAGCUGCUGGUCUAGAGAAGGUUGAUCCAACUUAUUGCCAACGUUCUUUGGAUGCAGUUUGUGCCUUUCAAUCACCUGAUUCACACUUGAGCUUGCAUACUCAAAAAGCUUCCCAGUUGCAGAAAAGACUAUGAGAGCAAUCUCAGCAUCACAAAGAGUAGAGAG
rnacentral:misc_RNA from 1 species